AGAGCAGCCUGGCAGUGUCCAAGCAACAAGCCUCCGCUCCUCCUUCCUGCACCCUGGGGCUCCUGAAACUCACAUGCCCCAAAGUGGAACUCACCCAAAUGUCUAUCGUCUGCUGAAUGGAUAAGAGAAUAUGUGAUGUCUCCAUACGGUGGAAUAUUAUUCAGCCAUGAAAGCAAAGGAGGUGCUGUUAUGCGGUAUAAUAUGGAUGGACCUUGAAAACAUACGGGAAGUGAAAGAAUCCAUCACAAAGGACAAUAUAUUGUUUGAUGCCUGUCUUAGUCACUUUGGGCUUCUUUAACAAAAGUAUCAUAGACUAUGUGGCUUAAACAACAGAAUUUAUUUCUCACAGUUCUGGAGGCUGGG
rnacentral:lncRNA from 10 species